rnacentral:rRNA from 1 species
AUUGAACGCUGGCGGCAGGCCUAACACAUGCAAGUCGAACGAGUGGCGGACGGGUGAGUAAUGUCUGGGAAACUGCCCGAUGGAGGGGGAUAACUACUGGAAACGGUAGCUAAUACCGCAUACCAUCGGAUGUGCCCAGAUGGGAUUAGCUAGUAGGUGGGGUAACGGCUCACCUAGUCGACGAUCCCUAGCUGGUCUGAGAGGAUGACCAGCCACGCUGGAACUGGGACACGGUCCAGAGUCCUGUGGGAGGCAGCGGUGGGGAAUAUUUCAGAAUGGGCGCAAGCCUGGUGCAGCCAUGCGGCGUGACUGAAGAAGGCCUUCGGGUUGUAAAGUACUUUCAUCGAGGAGGCGUUACUCGCAGAAGAAGCACCGGCUAACUCCGUGCCAGCAGCCGCGGUAAUUC